GACGAACGCUGGCGGCGCGCCUAACACAUGCAAGUCGAACGGAGCUUUGAGAGCUUGCUUUUAAAGCUUAGUGGCGAACGGGUGAGUAACGCGUGAGUAACCUGCCCUGGAGUGGGGGACAACAGUUGGAAACGACUGCUAAUACCGCAUAAGCCCACGGCCCGGCAUCGGGUUGAGGGAAAAGGAGCAAUUCGCUUCAGGAUGGCCUCGCGUCCAAUUAGGUAGAUGGUGAGGUAACGGCCCACCAUGCCGACGAUUGGUAGCCGGACUGAGAGGUUGAACGGCCACAUUGGGACUGAGACACGGCCCAG
rnacentral:rRNA from 1 species